rnacentral:lncRNA from 1 species
GAGAUUUCAAAACAACUUAAAAGUCUAAACAAAAGUCCGAUUUCAUCUCCAAAUCCCCUUUUUGUUAUAUACUUUUUGCUUUGUUAUGUCCGUUUUGCAUGUGUUAGUCGAAAUUUCUUGAUUUUUGGUCUGAAGAAGAAGAAAGGUGAACGAAUCCAGGUCUGUUUUUGAGUUACGGAUCCGGGUGUUUUGCUUUGUGGAGGGGAUAGAUGGACGGCGAUGGAGGCCUUCUCUGGUUGUUAGUUUACGCGGCUGGGAUAGUGUGAAGGAGAUGGAAUUCAAGAGGGUGGGUUUUCCUGAAGAAGAUGAGGAUACAAUGGGGGGAUUUUUUGGUUUUGGUUCGCUGGUUUUUCCAGCAAAAGGAGAUG